UACGUAGGGACCAAGCGUUGUUCGGAUUUACUGGGCGUAAAGGGCACGUAGGCGGCGCGGUAAGUCACUUGUGAAAUCUCUGAGCUUAACUCAGAACGGCCAAGUGAUACUGCAGUGCUAGAGUGUGGAAGGGGCAAUCGGAAUUCUUGGUGUAGCGGUGAAAUGCGUAGAUAUCAAGAGGAACACCUGAGGUGAAGACGGGUUGCUGGGCCAACACUGACGCUGAUGCGCGAAAGCCAGGGGAGCAAACGGG
rnacentral:rRNA from 1 species